AAAGCGUGCGCAGGCGGUUAUAUAAGACAGAUGUGAAAUCCCCGGGCUCAACCUGGGAACUGCAUUUGUGACUGUAUAGCUAGAGUACGGUAGAGGGGGAUGGAAUUCCGCGUGUAGCAGUGAAAUGCGUAGAUAUGCGGAGGAACACCGAUGGCGAAGGCAAUCCCCUGGACCUAUACUGACGCUCAUGCACGAAAGCGUGGGGAGCAAACAGGAUUAGAUACCCCGGU
rnacentral:rRNA from 1 species